rnacentral:lncRNA from 1 species
CCCUAUUUUUUUUCGACCAACUUGAUUCAAUUUCUGUAAAGAAUAAAAUAACAAAAAUUACGGCACUUCUGAUAGAAACUUUUAAUAGGCCCCGAGCCACCUUAAACUGAAAUAUUACCAAAUGAAAGUGAGAAUGGAAAUGGGAAAUGUGUCAAAGAGACAACAACCCAAUCAUUGAGCAGACUAAAGUGCAAGUUACAAUAUGUACAUUACAACAUAGAAUAUCACACUAUUAAAUAUCAAUUGAAAUGGAUUAACUUCAACAAUAAGAC